UCUCCUGUAGCUCAGUGGUAGGGCAUCCAACCUGUGUGCAGAAGUUCAUACAUGUAGGUUCGACUCCUGUUGGGAAAA
rnacentral:tRNA from 1 species